rnacentral:rRNA from 1 species
UACGUAGGGGGCAAGCGUUGUCCGGAAUCAUUGGGCGUAAAGCGCGUGUAGGCGGCCCGAUAAGUCCGCUGUGAAAGUCCAGGGCUCAACCCUGGAAAGCCGGUGGAUACUGUCGGGCUAGAGUCCGGAAGAGGCGAGUGGAAUUCCUGGUAUAGCGGUGAAAUGCGCAGAUAUCAGGAAGAACACCUAUGGCGAAGGCAGCUCUCUGGGACGGUACUGACGCUGAGACGCGAAAGCGUGGGGAGCAAACAGG